rnacentral:rRNA from 1 species
GUGGCGGACGGGUGAGUGAAGCAUCGGAAUGUGCCCAGUAGCGGGGGAUAACUACUCGAAAAAGUGGCUAAUACCGCAUAUUCUAUACGGAAGAAAGAGGGGGACCUUAGGGCCUCUCACUACUGGAGCAGCCGAUGUCAGAUUAGCUAGUUGGUGGGGUAAAGGCCUACCAAGGCGACGAUCUGUAGCUGGUUUGAGAGGACGAUCAGCCACACUGGGACUGAGACACGGCCCAGACUCCUACUGGGAGGCAGCAGUGGGGAUAUUUGUACAAUGGGGGGACCCUGAUCCAGCCAUCCCGACGUGUGAUGAUGAAGGCCUUUCGGUUGUAA